rnacentral:rRNA from 1 species
GACGAACGCUGGCGGCGUGCUUAACACAUGCAAGUCGAACGGAAAGGCCCUGCUUUUGUGGGGUGCUCGAGUGGCGAACGGGUGAGUAACACGUGAGUAACCUGCCCUUGACUUUGGGAUAACUUCAGGAAACUUGGGCUAAUACCGGAUAGGAGCUCCUGCUGCAUGGUGGGGGUUGGAAAGUUUCGGCGGUUGGGGAUGGACUCGCGGCUUAUCAGCUUGUUGGUGGGGCAGUGGCUUACCAAGGCUUUGACGGGUAGCCGGCCUGAGAGGGUGACCGGCCACAUUGGGACUGAGAUACGGCCCAGACUCCAACGGGAGGCAGCAGUGGGGAAUAUGGCACAAUGGGCGGAAGCGUGAGGCAGCGACGCCGCGUGCGGGAUGACGUCUUGCGGGUUGUAAACCGCUUUCGCCUGUGACGAGGCGUGAGUGACGGUAAUGGGUAAAGAAGCACCGGCUAACUACGUG